rnacentral:rRNA from 1 species
CGAACGGCAAGAGAGAAGCUUGCUUCUCUCCUAGAGUGGCGGACUGGUGAGGAACACGUGGGUAAUCUACCCUUAAGAUGGGGAUAGCUGUUAGAAAUAGCAGGUAAUACCGAAUAGGCUCAGUGCUUCAUAAGAGGCGUUGAGGAAAGGGAGCUACGGCUCCGCUUGAGGAUGAGCUUGCGUCCCAUUAGCUAGUUGGUGAGGUAAAGGCCCACCAAGGCGACGAUGGGUAUCCGGCCUGAGAGGGUGAUCGGACACAUUGGGACUGAGAUACGGCCCAAACUCCUACGGGAGGCAGCAGCUAAGAAUAUUCCGCAAUGGACGGAAGUCUGACGGAGCGACGCCGCGUGGAUGAAGAAGGCUGAAAAGUUGUAAAAUCCUUUUGUUGAUGAAGAAUAAGGGGAAGAGGGAAUGCUUCUCUGAUGACGGUAAUCAGCGAAUAAGCCCCGGCUAAUUACGUGCCAGCAGCCGCGGUAACACGUAAGGGGCGAGCGUUGUUCGGAAUUAUUGGGCGUAAAGGGCAUGUAGGCGGCUAUGUAAGCCUGAUGUGAAAUCCUGGGGCUUAACCCUAGAAUAGCAUUGGGUACUGUGUAGCUUGAAUUACGGAAGGGAAACUGGAAUUCCAAGUGUAGGGGUGGAAUCUGUAGAUAUUUGGAAGAACACCGGUGGCGAAGGCGGGU